GGAGCCUGCGGCUUAAUUUGACUCAACACGGGAAACCUCACCCGGCCCGGACACGGAAAGGAUUGACAGAUCGAUAGCUCUUUCUCGAUUCUGUGGGUGGUGGUGCAUGGCCGUUCUUAGUUGGUGGAGCGAUUUGUCUGGUUAAUUCGGAUAACGAACGAGACUCUGACAUGCUAAUUAGUUACGCGACCCCCCGAGCGGUCGGCGUCCAACUUCUUAGAGGGACAAGUGGCGUUUAGCCAAAAUAGACCUAGCAAUAACCGUUCUUUCCUUCCCACCCCCCGCACAUAGUCUUC
rnacentral:ncRNA from 1 species